AUUGAACGCUGGCGGCAUGCUUUACACAUGCAAGUCGAUCGGUAACGCGGGGGCAACCCUGGCGACGAGAGGCGGACGGGUGAGGAACGCUUGGGAAUCUGCCUAUCAGCGGGGGACAACACGGGGAAACUCGUGCUAAUACCGCAUACGCUCUACGGAGGAAAGCCGGGGACCGCAAGGCCUGGCACUGAUAGAUGAGCCCAAGCCGGAUUAGCUAGUUGGCGGGGUAACGGCCCACCAAGGCGACGAUCCGUAGCUGGUCUGAGAGGACGAUCAGCCACAGUGGGACUGAGACACGGCCCAGGCUCCUACGGGAGGCAGCAGUGGGGAAUAUUGGACAAUGGGGGAAACCCUGAUCCAGCGACGCCGCGUGGGUGAAGAAGGCCUGCGGGUUGUAAAGCCCUUUCGGUAGGGACGAAAGCUCUCGACCUAACACGUCGGGAGGUUGACUUAACCUACAAAAGAAGCACCGGCUAACUCUGUGCCAGCAGCCGCCGUAACAC
rnacentral:rRNA from 1 species